UCAUUCAAACCUUCCCGAGCACCUACCGUGUGCCAAGCAUUGCUCAAGGAGCUGAGGAUAGAGAUGAAGGACUCAGUUGUGUCCCCACAGAGGUCACAGUCUGGGAGGCAUGAUGGAAACCUGGGUCACAAUAAUAAUGAAGGGAGAUGGCUGAGCCCACAGUCCUGCCACCCACUAAACCUGGGAUUCUCCUGUGAAUUCUGUGGCCCGUGGAGGGUCCUAACAGGUGAAGUAGAACUUUCAGGGGCCUGAGGAAUGAAUACAAAUGUUUGGCUAACUACAGAGGAACAUCUCUAUAAAAGUCAGCUUCUUAGCUUUAAGCAGAUGAAAAAGACUUUGGCUGAUUUAAAUUGAGGAGUUUACUUAAAGGCCUUUGGCAUCUCAUUGAUUCCCAGAAAAGCCAAAGAACCAGGCUCAGAAAAUGGGCAGGACAUUAUGCUGUGUUGCUAUAAGUGGAUCCCAACUCACACUCCCAGUGUGAGGAUGCCAGAGCCUGCAUCACCACCUGUCAGCACUGGACACGGGCACUGGAGCAGGAGGUGCCGAGCCACCAUGACCACCCCCAAAAACUAGAUGUGGCUGCUGGCACAGUCUCCAGAUGAACUCCCCACCCCCCAGCUUUCUGCAUCACCAGCUCUCAUGCAUGUGUGACUAGACAAGCCCAGGUCCAUACGCCCACAGCCUAGCCUUCCAAUUUGUACAGCGGGAAGAGUACUUUCCAAACACAGUGAAGGAGUGGGGUUAGGAAUCAGGCAGGGAUAUAUCAAAGGCAGAUGUCCAUUACAAUAUCCUGGGCGAGUAGCACGGAGUGAGGGGUUCUUGGAAGCAGAAGAGCGCUGUACACCAAUGUUCUCUAGCAGAGGGACCUAUGCUCUAUACUGUCUGCCCUGUUUUGUCCCAGGGUAGUGGGUGGCCUGUCAUCAUCUUGGGGAGGAAGAUGACAUCUCCAUCUAAGUGACUGAGGUGGCAGAAUGUGGACUCAGAGUUGGGAAAGGUCUUAUUGAUACCAUCCUGGUUUUUUUUUUUUUAUGAGGGAUCCUUAAUCUCUUACCAUUCCUCUCAUUCCAUUUAGAUCCCAAAACCUUUGUUGUAUCAUUCAAAAUCAGGCAGAGUUUCCUAAGGUAUGAGAUGACAAAUAUUAUUGUGCUAGGAUGGCAUAAUGCCAGUCAAGAGCAAACAUUAAGGUUCAGGAAAUAUUAACGGAAGUGCCAUUUGGGCAAAUGUAUAAUUUCCUUCAUGAAAUUGGGAACAGAGAGAGGGAAAAAAACAAAAACAAAAA
rnacentral:lncRNA from 1 species